UGAAUAGCCCACGCAUUGAUAAAUAGCCAGGUGCGACGUGGAAUGUCAAAUCCAGCGACUUCACAGUCAGUGGAUGAAGCGUGUGGGACAAGUAAGGGCGCCGCCGGAAACAAACGAAGAGUCUCAGAGAUCACAUUGUUGAGAUAGGGACACUUGCCAGUAUCUGAUUCCUCAAACACACGCCCUU